AAGUGGUAGGAGAGCGUUCUAUUUGCGUCGAAGGUAUACCGGUAAGGAGUGCUGGAGCGAAUAGAAGUGAGCAUGCAGGCAUGAGUAGCGAUAAUUAAUGUGAGAAUCAUUAACGCCGUAAACCCAAGGUUUCCUACGCGAUGCUCGUCAUCGUAGGGUUAGUCGGGUCCUAAGUCGAGUCCGAAAGGGGUAGACGAUGGCAAAUUGGUUAAUAUUCCAAUACCAACAUUAGUGUGCGAUGGAAGGACGCUUAGGGCUAAGGGGGCUAGCGGAUGGAAGUGCUAGUCUAAGGUUGUAGGAGGUUAUACAGGCAAAUCCGUAUAACAAUACUCCGAGAACUGAAAGGCUUUUUGAAGUCUUCGGAUGGAUAGAAGAACCCCUGAUGCCGUCGAGCCAAGAAAAGUUUCUAAGUUUAGCUAAUGUUGCCCGUACCGUAAACCGACACAGGUGGGUGGGAUGAGUAUUCUAAGGCGCGUGGAAGAACUCUCUUUAAGGAACUCUGCAAAAUAGCACCGUAUCUUCGGUAUAAGGUGUGGUUAGCUUCGUACUAGGAUUUGACUUCGAAAGCGAAGAAACUUACAACAAAGAGUCCCUCCCGACUGUUUACCAAAAACACAGCACUCUGCUAACUCGUAAGAGGAUGUAUAGGGUGUGACGCCUGCCCGGUGCUCGAAGGUUAAUUGAUGGGGUUAGCAUUAGCGAAGCUCUUGAUCGAAGCCCGAGUAAACGGCGGCCGUAACUAUAACGGUCCUAAGGUAGCGAAAUUCCUUGUCGGUUAAAUACCGACCUGCAUGAAUGGCGUAACGAGAUGGGAGCUGUCUCAAAGAGGGAUCCAGUGAAAUUGUAGUGGAGGUGAAAAUUCCUCCUACCCGCGGCAAGACGGAAAGACCCCGUGGACCUUUACUACAGCUUGACACUGCUACUUGGAUAAGAAUGUGCAGGAUAGGUGGGAGGCUUUGAGUAUAUGACGCCAGUUGUAUAUGAGCCAUUGUUGAGAUACCACUCUUUCUUAUUUGGGUAGCUAACCAGCUUGAGUUAUCCUCAAGUGGGACAAUGUCUGGUGGGUAGUUUGACUGGGGCGGUCGCCUCCCAAAUAAUAACGGAGGCUUACAAAGGUUGGCUCAGAACGGUUGGAAAUCGUUCGUAGAGUAUAAAGGUAUAAGCCAGCUUAACUGCAAGACAUACAAGUCAAGCAGAGACGAAAGUCGGUCUUAGUGAUCCGGUGGUUCUGUGUGGAAGGGCCAUCGCUCAAAGGAUAAAAGGUACCCCGGGGAUAACAGGCUGAUCUCCCCCAAGAGCUCACAUCGACGGGGAGGUUUGGCACCUCGAUGUCGGCUCAUCGCAUCCUGGGGCUGGAGCAGGUCCCAAGGGUAUGGCUGUUCGCCAUUUAAAGCGGUACGCGAGCUGGGUUCAGAACGUCGUGAGACAGUUCGGUCCCUAUCUGCCGUGGGCGUAAGAAGAUUGAAGAGAUUUGACCCUAGUACGAGAGGACCGGGUUGAACAAACCACUGGUGUAGCUGUUGUUCUGCCAAGAGCAUCGCAGCGUAGCUAAGUUUGGAAAGGAUAAACGCUGAAAGCAUCUAAGCGUGAAGCCAACUCUAAGAUGAAUCUUCUCUAAGCUCUCUAGAAGACUACUAGUUUGAUAGGCUGGGUGUGUAAUGGAUGAAAGUCCUUUAGCUGACCAGUACUAAUAGAGCGUUUGGCUUAUCUUUAAUAAAGCAU
rnacentral:rRNA from 1 species